rnacentral:rRNA from 1 species
GACGAACGCUGGCGGCGUGCUUAACACAUGCAAGUCGAACGCUGAAGCCCUUCGGGGUGGAUGAGUGGCGAACGGGUGAGUAACACGUGGGUAAUCUGCCCUGCACUCUGGGAUAAGCCUUGGAAACGGGGUCUAAUACCGGAUAGGACACAUCGCCGCAUGGUGUGUGUGUGGAAAGUUCCGGCGGUGCAGGUUGAGCCCGCGGCCUAUCAGCUUGUUGGUGGGGUGAUGGCCUACCAAGGCGACGACGGGUAGCCGGCCUGAGAGGGUGACCGGCCGCACUGGGACGGAGACACGGCCCAGACUCCUACGGGAGGCAGCAGUGGGGAAUCUUGCGCAAUGGGCGAAAGCCUGACGCGGCAACGCCGCGUGGGGGAUGACGGCCUUCGGGUUGUAAACCUCUUUCGACCGGGACGAAGGAUUCGUUUGACGGUACCGGUAGAAGAAGCACCGGCUAACUACGUGCCAGCCGCCGCCGUAA